UAAAAUUCUGGUCUUUAAGAAAAUGGUCAUC
rnacentral:piRNA from 1 species